rnacentral:rRNA from 2 species
UGAGGGUAGCUGAAGGUACUGUACGAAUAAGCACCGGCUAACUCCGUGCCAGCAGCCGCGGUAAUACGGAGGGUGCAAGCGUUAUCCGGAUUUAUUGGGUUUAAAGGGUCCGUAGGCGGACCUGUAAGUCAGUGGUGAAAUCUCAUAGCUUAACUAUGAAACUGCCAUUGAUACUGCAGGUCUUGAGUAAAUUUGAAGUGGCUGGAAUAAGUAGUGUAGCGGUGAAAUGCAUAGAUAUUACUUAGAACACCAAUUGCGAAGGCAGGUCACUAAGAUUUAACUGACGCUGAUGGACGAAAGCGUGGGUAGCGAACAGGAUUAGAUACCCUGGUAGUCCACGCCGUAAACGAUGCUAACUCGUUUUUGGAUUUUCGGAUUCAGAGACCAAGCGAAAGUGAUAAGUUAGCCACCUGGGGAGUACGUUCGCAAGAAUGAAACUCAAAGGAAUUGACGGGGGCCCGCACAAGCGGUGGAUUAUGUGGUUUAAUUCGAUGAUACGCGAGGAACCUUACCAAGACUUAAAUGGGAAUUGACAGAUUUAGAAAUAGAUCCUUCUUCGGACAAUUUUCAAGGUGCUGCAUGGUUGUCGUCAGCUCGUGCCGUGAGGUGUUAGGUUAAGUCCUGCAACGAGCGCAACCCCUGUCACUAGUUGCUAACAUUCAGUUGAGGACUCUAGUGAGACUGCCUAC